rnacentral:rRNA from 1 species
UACAUAGGGUGCAAGCGUUGUCCGGAAUUAUUGGGCGUAAAGAGCUCGUAGGUGGUUCGUCACGUCGGGAUGUGAAACUCUGGGGCUUAACCCCAGACCUGCAUUCGAUACGGGCGAGCUUGAGUAUGGUAGGGGAGUCUGGAAUUCCUGGUGUAGCGGUGGAAUGCGCAGAUAUCAGGAGGAACACCAAUGGCGAAGGCAGGACUCUGGGCCAUUACUGACACUGAGGAGCGAAAAGCGUGGGGAGCGAACAGG